GACGAACGCUGGCGGCGUGCUUAACACAUGCAAGUCGAACGGAAAGGCCCUGCUUUUGUGGGGUGCUCGAGUGGCGAACGGGUGAGUAACACGUGAGUAACCUGCCCUUGACUUUGGGAUAACUUCAGGAAACUGGGGCUAAUACCGGAUAGGAGCUCCUGCUGCAUGGUGGGGGUUGGAAAGUUUCGGCGGUUGGGGAUGGACUCGCGGCUUAUCAGCUUGUUGGUGGGGCAGUGGCUUACCAAGGCUUUGACGGGUAGCCGGCCUGAGAGGGUGACCGGCCACAUGGGGACUGAGAUACGGCCCAGACUCCUACGGGAGGCAGCAGUGGGGAAUAUGGCACAAUGGGCGGAAGCCUGAUGCAGCAACGCCGCGUGCGGGAUGACGGCCUUCGGGUUGUAAACCGCUUUCGCCUGUGACGAAGCGUGAGUGACGGUAAUGGGUAAAGAAGCACCGGCUAACUACGUG
rnacentral:rRNA from 1 species